rnacentral:rRNA from 1 species
UGGGGAAUUUUGGACAAUGGGGGCAACCCUGAUCCAGCCAUGCCGCGCGAGUGAAGAAGGCCUUCGGGUUGUAAAGCUCUUUCGGCCGGGAAGAAAUCGCAUGGGUUAAUACCCUGUGUGGAUGACGGUACCGGAAUAAGAAGCACCGGCUAACUACGUGCCAGCAGCCGCGGUAAUACGUAGGGUGCGAGCGUUAAUCGGAAUUACUGGGCGUAAAGCGUGCGCAGGCGGUUUAGUAAGACAGGCGUGAAAUCCCCGGGCUCAACCUGGGAACUGCGCUUGUGACUGCUAAGCUAGAGUACGGCAGAGGGGGGUGGAAUUCCACGUGUAGCAGUGAAAUGCGUAGAGAUGUGGAGGAACACCGAUGGCGAAGGCAGCCCCCUGGGCCGAUACUGACGCUCAUACACGAAAGCGUGGGUAGCAAACA